rnacentral:rRNA from 1 species
GACGAACGCUGGCGGCGUGCUUAACACAUGCAAGUCGAACGGAAAGGCACUGCUUUUGUGGGGUGCUCGAGUGGCGAACGGGUGAGUAACACGUGAGUAACCUGCCCUUGACUUUGGGAUAACUUCAGGAAACUGGGGCUAAUACCGGAUAGGAGCUCCUGCUGCGUGGAGGGGGUUGGAAAGUUUCGGCGGUUGGGGAUGGACUAGCGGCUUAUCAGCUUGUUGGUGGGGUGGUGGAUUACCAAGGCUUGGACGGGUAGCCGGCCUGGGAGGGUGACCGGCUCCAUUGGCCUUGGGGAGCGGCCCGGGCUGCUUCGGGGGCCAGGAGUGGGAACCUUUGCCAGCCGGGCGGCGUCCGUAUGCAGCACCGCCGGGUGGUGGAGGACUGCUUUCGGGUAGUAAACCGCUUUCGCCUGUGACGAGGCGUGAUGGACGUUAAUGGGUAAAGAAGCACCGGCUACCUACGU